UGUACAAUCGCUUGUGACCAGUAAGAAACCAUUGUUCUGAUAAGGGGAAAAUUCAUAUGUAAUAAAUAUGCUUUGUUUGCCUUUUGAUACAAAAUCCACAAUGGACGAUUGGCAGUGUAUGGAGUUGAACAACUUGAAACAACGAAAGAGAACAACAACAAAUGAAACAAAAUUACAUUUCAAUGAAAAAGCAGAUAAUGAUUACUCUUCUUUGCCACCUCCCCAUAUCAAGGUUGCUGCUGAGCGUCCAUGUAACCAGCGUCGGCGAGCACUUUCUCCCUCUUGGCCAGCUCAAGGUCUUCGUCCACCAUCAUCUUCACCAGCUUCUCGAACCCUACUUUUGGCUUCCACCCCAACAUUUCCUUUGCCUUGCUUGCGUCUCCUUUCAGAUUGUCGACCUCCGUGGGCCGGAAGUACCUUUUGUCGAUCUCGACAUGGUCUUUCCAGUUGAGCCCCACGUACCCGAAAGACACGUCCAGAAACUCCUUGACGGUGUGUGAUUCCUCAGUUGCAACCACAUAGUCAUCUGGUUUCUCCUGCUGCAGCAUCAGCCACAUUGCUUCCACGUAGUCUCCUGCGAAACCCCAGUCUCUUGAAGCCUGUAUAUUUCCCAGGAAGAGCUUGGUCUGCAAUCCGACCUUGAUCCUUCCCAAGGCCCGAGUGAUUUUCCGAGUCACGAAGUUCUCGCCUCUGCGAGGUGACUCGUGGUUGAAGAGGAUUCCGUUGCAGGCGUACAGACCGUAGGCCUCUCGGUAAUUGACUGUGUACCAAUGAGCAGCGCAUUUGGACGCAGCGUAGGGAGAUCUCGGAUGGAAGGGCGUGGUCUCUGACUGCGGAGGAGGAGUUGACCCGAACAUCUCCGAAGAGCCAGCCUGGUAGUACUUGAUGGCGCGGCCAUUGUCAAUGUUGUGAGAUCUGACAGCCUCCAGGAGACGAAGAGCUCCAGUAGCGACAACGUCAGCAGUGUAAUCAGGGAUCUCGAAGGAGACGGCAACGUGGGACUGAGCAGCAAGGUUGUAGACCUCGUCAGGCUUGAUGACGUCGAGCCAACGGCGGAGGGAGGAGGCAUCAGAGAGAUCACCGUAGUGGAGCUUCAUGAGAGCUUUGUUGACGUUGUGGGGAUCAACGUAGAUAUGGUUGAGUCGCUGAGUGUUAAAAUUGGAGGAUCGUCGGAUGAGGCCGUGAACUUCGUAGCCUUUCUCGAGCAGGAACUCGGUCAGGUAAGAUCCAUCUUGGCCAGUGAUUCCGGUGACCAGUGCAAUCUUCCUCGGCUUCACAAUGUCGGAAUCGCCAUUGAGAGAUCUGGAGGCCAUUGAUGGGUGGGUGCAGAGUCAGAUCGGAUCAGAAGAAAUGAUUGGGCACGUCGCGCUUUCUGUUUUUGAUUUUAGCGUCAACUGAUUCGAUGACUUAUAUAUAAUAAAGCCCAAGGACGAAGAAGACAGAGAGAGAGGGUUACUUCUGUAAACUUUAAAGGUGAAUCUGUAUGGCUACGUAAAGUUGUACUUGUAUGGCAAAUCGCCGGCAAGCGUUGACCGAUUACGAAUAUUUUACUAUCUAUUGGGCCAAGAUGGGCUUUAAAUUACUGCUAAUUUUAUUGGGCUUAUAUAUAUAUAUAGCUCUACGGGUUGCGUUCAGAC
rnacentral:lncRNA from 1 species